GGUCAAUGGCCUAACGGCUGAACUGGCAACUUGGAGAAGUGGCAAGUCUUCCAGUAUGGGGAGCAAAACAGCUAUGGGUCAAGUCCGAUAUCUUUAGGAGAAGUCUUAUUGUGAGGGCGAGUUAUAUAACACCAUAGGACUGGCCGUCCCAUAUGAAAAGAUUAUAUUAGAAUUGAAUGAAGCUUUGUUUAUAUAUUGAUAAUGACAGUAUAUAUAUCGUGUCUUGACUAAUUGCGUGCCAGCAGUCGCGGUAAUACGUAAGAGACUAGUGUUAUUCAUCUUAAUUAGGUUUAAAGGGUACCCAGACGGUCAAUAUAGCUUAUAAAAUGUUAGUACUUGACUAGAGUUUUAUGUAAGAGGGCAGUACUUGAGGAGGAGAGAUGAAAUUUCGUGAUACCAAAGGGACUCUGUAAAGGCGAAGGCAGCCCUCUAUGUAAAAACUGACGUUGAAGGACGAAGGCACAGAGAACAAACAGGAUUAGAUACCCAAGUAGUCUUUGCAGUAAAUGAUGAAUGCCAUAGGUUAGAUUGGUCAAUUAUAGUCUAGGGUUAGUCUAGCAAACUAAUACCCUAUGCUAUAAUCCUAAUAUCUGGUCUAUAAAUGAAAGUGUAAGCAUUUCACCUCAAGAGUAAUGUGGCAACGCAGGAACUGAAAUCACUAGACCGUUUCUGACACCAGUAGUGAAGUAUGUUAUUUAA
rnacentral:rRNA from 1 species